ACGAACGCUGGCGGCGUGCUUAACACAUGCAAGUCGAACGGAAAGGCCCUGCUUUUGUGGGGUGCUCGAGUGGCGAACGGGUGAGUAACACGUGAGUAACCUGCCCUUGACUUUGGGAUAACUUCAGGAAGCUGGGGCUAAUACCGGAUAGGAGCUCCUGCUGCAUGGUGGGGGUUGGAAAGUUUCGGCGGUUGGGGAUGGACUCGCGGCUUAUCAGCUUGUUGGUGGGGUAGUGGCUUACCAAGGCUUUGACGGGUAGCCGGCCUGAGAGGGUGACCGGCCACAUUGGGACUGAGAUACGGCCCAGACUCCUACGGGAGGCAGCAGUGGGAAAUAUUGCACAAUGGGCGGAAGCCUGAUGCAGCAACGCCGCGUGCGGGAUGACGGCCUUCGGGUUGUAAACCGCUUUCGCCUGUGACGAAGCGUGAGUGACGGUAAUGGGUAAAGAAGCACCGGCUAACUACGUG
rnacentral:rRNA from 1 species